rnacentral:tRNA from 1 species
UGUAAUUUGGUGAAAAAUUCACGUUAAUUUUUGAAAUUAAAGAAGGAAGUGUAAUUCUUCUAUUUACAA